rnacentral:misc_RNA from 1 species
AUUAGUGAAGAAAAUGAUUGAAAAGACUUAUUCACAUAUGGACGCUCUCUUAGUACAACUCCACAAAGGAUACAUGUGAAUUGUGAGGAACACAUGGUCAACAUGCAAAACAGAAUGAUUUUUCCUCUACAGCAGUAUCAACGAUUGUUCAGUUGAUGCAAAACACAGUAUUUUGAUUUUGAUUACCACUCAAAAUGAUUUCCCCUAUACACCAAUAUAUAU